UAAAAGUGAAUCAAUCCUAAUCUAUGGGUCAGUCAAGUAGCUGGCCAGCUAAUUAAAGACGCCGAUAUAUUUGUUCUUAAUUUUAAAAAGGAGAAGAAAAUUACUACCUACAUAUUUUUUUACUCGUUUUGCCGCGUAUUUUUAAUGGAACGUCGUUAUAACUUAUAACAUUUAUCAAAUUUCUUUAAAAAAACACGUUUUUAAUAAAAUACUAUGGGAAAAAACAAGAGUUGUGAUUCUUCGACUAGGAAGAUUAUAAUGAACUUAUAUGAUAAGGGUUGGUCAUACAGAAAAAUAGCAAACCACAUAAAUUGUUCAAAAGACAUGGUUUUUAAUGCUAUCAAACAUUUUAAGCAUUUCAACACUACUGAAAACAUGCCUAGAAAAACCAGGCCAAGAAAGACUACUCCGCGAGAAGACUUGCACAUCGUGUUGUUGGCAAAAAAGGAUCCAUUAAUGGGAUCAGAACUGAUCCGUUCGGAGUUAUACGGUGCGGAAGGAACGACGGGUGUGUCUGGAAGAACUGUCAGACGAAGAUUAUGUGAGGCAAACUUGUAUGGAAGGGCCACACGGAAGGAUUCGGUGUUGGACCUGUGAGAAAGAUAGAUGGCAACAUGGAUAGAUUACAGUAUAAGAAUAUCUUAGAAGGGACCAUGCUACCCCACGCCCAUCAACAUUUACCAGAAAAUUGGACAUUUCAGCAUGACAAUAAUCCCAAACAUACAGCUAAAGUGGUAAAAGACUUCUUGAGCAAUGAGUCCGUGAGGGUAUUGGAUUGGCCGCCUUGCAGUCCCGACCUAAAUCCAAUAGAAAACUUGUGGCACCAUGUAAAUAAAGCAGUGGCUUCAAAACGUUCAUCAAACGUAAAUCAACUUUACGAUGCAUUUAAAGAAGCAUGGGAGCAAAUUCCAGUAGCUACUUGUUCAAAAUUGAUCGCUUCCAUGCCCAAGAGAUGUCGUGCCGUUAUUGAGGCAAAUGGACAUGCAACCAAAUAUUGAUAUGCAUCGUAAUGUUUCAUUGAUCUGUACCUCACCUCUGACAAGUUCUGUUGAUGAUAUUUAGACUUACUAUUAAAUAAUAUUCCCAUAAAUAUUUAAAAAUAAAGUACCUAAUAUGUUCCAAA